GCACACAACAAAGAGUCUAUUCCCCCCCCCUGCUCUAUCUUUUGGACGACACGAUAAAAAAUAACCCUGUAUUUAUGCAAAUUGCAAAGUAGCGUGUGAUAAUGAAAACAAAACAGGGCUGGCCCGCAGCCAAGACAUGGCGUUGACGGGGGCUCCCGACCAUGUGGCUCCCGAUUCUUCAGGGAAAGCAGCUGUAGAGAAAUGAGACUCCGCACAGCACCCUCCUCACGGCGCGCACACCCACAUCGGAACACAUUCCGGUACCCGUCACCUUGGAGCUGGCCAAACUUGGGGAUCCAAAAAGUGGUCCUGCUUCCUAGCGGGUGUUGAGCUCUGCAGCGUCGUCCCCCACGAACCUCCCUGCCCCCUGCUCCUGAUUCCCUUUCAGGAAUUUACAAACAUUUUUCCCUAGAUCAAUAUCCGUAUUGAUUAUUCAUUGUGAGCGAGUCGUGUGUCUUUGGUGAUCCAGCUUGCAGAGGGUAGCAGCUAAAGACGGCUGCAGGGGGAAAAAUAACAGAAGGUGAGAAGGACCCAGCUCUGGCUGGGGUCUGCGGCUGUCACAUCACAGAGAGGAGGAAGAAGAAGAGAGUGGUCCAGAAUGAAAGGAUGGAGAAGGGUAGAAGAGAAAGAGGGAGCAACAGCAAGAAAGAAAGAUGUGAGGACUGCAUCUGGUCUUAGGGAUCUCAAUGGCUUGGAGGAAAGCCCCAUCAUCUUGGGUCUGCUGCUAGGUGCAAAAUGCCGUGCAUUACUCUGCUCUGGGAGUGAAAAGUGACUCACGGUUUUGGUGUCUUCCUACGUAAGAGCUUUUGGUGGGGGGAUUCCUUGGCUUGCUGACAGACAAGGAAGGACGCAGCAGCAGUGAGGUAAAAGAAGAGGAAGAAAAAAAAAAAGCAACCCAGUCCUUUCCAAGCGCCUCGCCGAGGAUGUGCACCCGUUCGGUUUGAUUUGAACAGCUUGCUGCUCUAAAUGGCAUGCGGAAGGAGGAUAAUUAAAAAGGCCAGCAUCACUUACUAAGUGAGUAAACACAAAGCCGUUCCAAACGUGCUCUCCAGCUAAUGAGGAGCUGUGAUUUCUUAUACUUCAAGGCAAAACAAGACAGGGAUGGGGGCUCAGCCGAGUGUACGUCUGCAUGGGGAUGUGGAUAUGGGGGUGGGCGGUGGUCCUUGCUGAUGGAGAUAAAUCGACUAAUUGUUGGUGAUGUUUAAAAAAGGGAUUACUGGAAAAGACGGUGAGAGGAUGACAGGAAGACAUCUUGGAUCAGAGCCAAAAAAAUAAUAAUCAAGGCAAAUCAAGUCUGCAAUUCGGAGAAAACACCCAUGGCUUGGGAAGCUCCCGAUGGGACCAUGGGAACCGCUAGAGUUCCUCAGCCAAGUCUGGGAAUAUUGCGGUGGGCACAAGAGGACAAGAUUCAGGAAAGAGUCAUGGCAUGCUGGCUUGCACAGCUAUGCCACACACUGAGGAAAAAGAAAACCCAAAUCAAAUCCACCAGACCCAAAACAGUGAAAGCCAACAUAUCCUUUGCAUUGGAGUCUUUCUGCUGGCUCAAAGUCAUUCCAUCUAUUUAAAACAAUUCCACAACGUGCCUCCUGCUAGUAGCUGCUAGUCCUCUUGCCUGUUUUCAGAAGCCGCCUCACUGUUGCAGAGUGAUAGUGGGAAGAGGAGGUUGAGGAGACUCAGUUUUCCAUUGGCUGGGCUUCUGGCAAAUUCGCCAGGUGAUUGUCUUUGCCAUUUGGACCGACCUACGGGAGCUGGUUGGGGAUUCCUCUUCUGUUGUCACCCAGCUGUGGCUUGGAUGUUAACCUCUACCACUUCACGAGGGAAUGGUCACCCCCUACUUACUUCAUUUGCUGGAUCCUUCCACUUUCAAGACUCCAUCCCUGCAAGAAGCUUAAAGCCUCCACCUGGAUUAUGUACACCCACAAGCCCCAUCUGUACUACCCUGCCCUGUAGCUUCCCCCCGCCCCAUGUUGACAAUGACCUGGUUUCCCCAUUUGACUGUGAGACGUAUAGAGGCAGAAACUUCAUCUUUACCCCUAUGUUCCCAGCAUCUUGGCAACAAACUAGAUGCUUCAUAAACCAACACUACUAUUUCUAUUUUGGGUGCCUUAGAGCCCAUUUCUUCAGCUGUAGGGUUACACGGUAAUCAGGCAGAGGGAGACACAGCCAGCAUUUCCUAUAGAUGAAGAGGGAUUUCCUAUGGCGGAGUUCUCACCUACAUUAGAUAUUUUUGACUUCUGUCCUGGGAGAGACAGGCUUGAGGGUGGUCUGUAGGUGUUAGAUGAUGUGGUAGGAGCUUUAGAGUUAAUUAGAAGCCUCAGCUACAGGCAAACUUCCUCUGCAGAGUUCCUGGGAGGAAACUUGGAAUUAACAGUUGGAGGUCACCAUUAGAAACCUGCCCUGUUCCUCUUGGGCUCUGCCUCAGGGAGCUAGUUUGCCUUGUUAUUUAUAUUUCUACUUUUCUUUUGUCGCCUUAAGUGUGGUCAUGUAGACAAGGAUCCAAGGGCCUGAGGUCACAGACUGCUUCUUUGUACAACUCCAAGAGAGCAGACUGGAGGAGCAUUGGGGAUAUGGGGGUAGGGGUGGGGCUCAACACUGGGUAGAUCUGAAGAUCAAGGAGGUCUGCCCAUACACCAUGACAGAGAUGGUUUUUUGAAGGUCUCAUCUUCCAUGACACAGAAAAUGGCAUGAGGGAUGGGCAGAGGGCUCACAAGGCCCCACUCGUGUGUGAGGAACUAUGGGCAAUCUAUGGUUGAUAAACAAGGGAGAAUUAGUGCUCUCCAGUGAGGCCCUCCAGUAUAGGUUGCCCAUGCCCUAGUGGCCAGCCCUACUCCCAUAUACCCAGGGGCAAUAUUAACUGGAUCCAGUAGGAGAGACACAAAUAUCCACUCAUAUCAGAAAAGGACCUGAGUUUGGGAAGAAGAUGGGGGGGGAUGGGAUAUGUGGCAUUGUGAUGGCAGGAAGGAAUGGAUAUGAUCAAAAUGCAUUAUAGCACUUGUGACAUUUCAAAAAUAUUCAAUAACUACAAUAAGAAAAUUGCAUGUAUCACUGGUA